UGCAUUCACUACUGUUGGUCGCUCUGGAUAAGAGCGUCUGCUAAAUGACGUAAA
rfam:Salmo salar isolate Sally breed double haploid chromosome ssa01, whole genome shotgun sequence.